CUCAUAGCAACGUGAAAAUCACAAACAAGCUAUUCUUGAAACUACUACUUACACAAUAUUUAAACGUUUAUUCCAUUUCAAUGACCAACGAUGUUGAUGUAUUAUAUAGUUAUCAAAGGUACCAGGAUUAUAAUUUAAUACGCCAGACGCGCGUUUCGUCUACAGUAACAGAAGACUCGUCAGUGACGCUCAGAUCAAAAUAGUUAUAAAGCCAAACAAGUACAAAGAUGAAGAGCAUUGAGGACCCA
rnacentral:lncRNA from 1 species